GUGUCAGCCGCCGCGGUAACACGUAGGGUGCAAGCGUUGUCCGGAAUCAUUGGGCGUAAAGAGCUCGUAGGCGGCUUAGUAAGUCGGGUGUGAAACCUCCAGGCUCAACCUGGAGACGCCACCCGAUACUGCUAUAGCUAGAGUCCAGUAGGGGAGUGCGGAAUUCCCGGUGUAGCGGUGAAAUGCGCAGAUAUCGGGAGGAACACCAGCGGCGAAGGCGGCACUCUGGGCUGGUACUGACGCUCAGGAGCGAAAGCGUGGGUAGCGAACAGGAUUAGAUACCCCGGUAGUCC
rnacentral:rRNA from 1 species